UACAGAGGUCUCAAGCGUUGUUCGGAUUCAUUGGGCGUAAAGGGUGCGUAGGCGGCGCGGUAAGUCGGGUGUGAAAUCUCGGAGCUUAACUCCGAAACUGCAUUCGAUACUGCCGUGCUUGAGGACUGGAGAGGAGACUGGAAUUUACGGUGUAGCGGUGAAAUGCGUAGAUAUCGGAAGGAAGACCAGUGGCGAAGGCGGGUCUCUGGGCAGUAACUGACGCUGAGGAGCGAAAGCGUGGGGAGCGAACAGG
rnacentral:rRNA from 1 species